rnacentral:rRNA from 1 species
UACAGAGGUCCCAAGCGUUGUUCGGAUUCACUGGGCGUAAAGGGUGCGUAGGUGGCGAGGUAAGUUUGAUGUGAAAGCUCCGGGCUCAACCCGGAAAUGGCAUUGAAUACUCUCUCGCUAGAGGAUUGGAGGGGAGUCUGGAAUUCUCGGUGUAGCAGUGAAAUGCGUAGAUAUCGAGAGGAACACCAGUGGCGAAGGCGAGACUCUGGACAAUUCCUGACACUGAGCAAGGAAAGCAGGGGGAGCAAACGGGAUUAGAUCCCCCGGUAGUCCGGGCCCUAAACGGUGCACGUUUGCUGUAGGGGGAAGCGACCCCGCCUGUGGCGUAGCUAACGCGAUAAACGUGCCGCCUGGGGAGUACGGUCGCAAGAUUA